rnacentral:tRNA from 1 species
GGUAGCGUAGCUCAGUGGUAGAGCAACCGCCUUGUAAGUGGAAGGUCGGGGGUUCGAAUCCCCCCGCCGGCUCCA